AAGACUAUAGACCUGCGGAGUACCUGCGGAAGGAUCAUUAACGUAUCUGUGAUGGGGUGCGGAGCGCCCUGCUCCGGUCGAACGGCCGUGCAGCGGGUGCGCCGCCCCCGUCCCACCUCACAAACCCACUGUGAACAUUCACCGGUGGAGGGGGCUCGGUCUGCGCCGUGUCCCCGAUGCCGAAUACCCAAACUCCAGUUGCAAAGAACGUCGUGCGGACUCGGUGCCGCCUAAAACAUG
rnacentral:misc_RNA from 1 species